AUUGAACGCUGGCGGCAUGCCUUACACAUGCAAGUCGAACGGCAGCACGGGAGCAAUCCUGGUGGCGAGUGGCGAACGGGUGAGUAAUAUAUCGGAACGUGCCCAGUAGUGGGGGAUAACGCAGCGAAAGCUGUGCUAAUACCGCAUACGAUCUAAGGAUGAAAGCGGGGGAUCGCAAGACCUCGCGCGAUUGGAGCGGCCGAUAUCAGAUUAGCUAGUUGGUGGGGUAAAGGCCCACCAAGGCGACGAUCUGUAGCUGGUCUGAGAGGAAGACCAGCCCCACUGGAACGGAGGCACGGUCCAGACUCCUACGGGAGGCAGCAGUGGGGAAUUUUGGACAAUGGGCGCAAGCCUGAUCCAGCAAUGCCGCGUGCAGGAUGAAGGCCUUCGGGUUGUAAACUGCUUUUGUACGGAACGAAACGGCCCUUUCUAAUACAGGGGGCUAAUGACGGUACCGUAAGAAUAAGCACCGGCUAACUACGUGCCAGCCGCCGCAGUAAAAC
rnacentral:rRNA from 1 species